rnacentral:misc_RNA from 1 species
CUGAAAUGCCUUAGUUUACAGGAAUUGGCGUCCUGGGACUAGGGAUUCCCAUGUAUGCAAGCCUAGGAGACAACCUAACCUGUGGACUGGGGCGUGGAGAUGGGAUUGGACCAUAGUUAUUGAAAGUCCCAGGAGGCACCCGAGGAGAUAGGUUGACCUGUUCCAAUGCUCUUGAUUGCAGCUCUGUAGGGUAGUCUCUGACACACCCAAUCCGGGGUCCUGCCCCAGUUGUCCACUUGCAAGGUAAGCGUUCAGGCCAAUCAAAAACAGUUGCCUUGGCGUCGGCAUUGCUAGUGUCAAUUUCUUGCUCUGUGAUUUUAGUCUCCUUAGUGGACAAAUCCAUAUCAGGUUUAUUUGUAUCGUUGGGUUGAGAAACUGGAGCAGAAACCACAAUUGAUUCUGGCUUUUGUUCUUCUUCAGAUACAACACUUGAAGGACUGUCAUCAUCAAUUGCACACCUCUUAACAUUUGUGAGAUCUACAUGAUUUUCCCGAAGGAAACUAAUAAAUUCCCUGAAGUUUUCUUCUGUUGGAAGAUAGUGACCGCUGUAUGGCCAGAUUGCCUCAAGAAUUCCAUUGUGGGCAACCAAUCUUCCAGCUGCAGUGGUGGCACCACCAGAAAGGAAACUUGAGUGUUGGAAAGAACCCUUCUUCUUUUGCCCAACGUACAAAGCCCUUGUUGUGCUAAGCACAAAUAUCCAUUUGGAACCCUCAACUGUAUCCACAAGUUUUCCACUUUCUUUAUAAACAAGCUUUCCAUUUUCAACUAUUACUUCAUAUGCUUCCCUUUCUUUUGGUCCAAGAUAUUUGAUGCACUGUCGUUGUAGAACAGUUCUUGGACAUUUCUCUAGAUUCACUUCCUUGCCAUCUCCAACAUCCAACCAGUAGAAGAAAGGUUGGGUGCUCUCACUUCUGAACCAGACAUCGUAAUACAAGUGCAAGUUGUGGCCAUAUCGAUGGCGAGGAUCAAUAGCUUCAAGCCA